CGGGAUUAUGGGCAGCUUAUAAUGCAAGUCGACGGUAAGUGUUGUAGCAAUAUAACACCAAGAGUGACGUACGGGUGCGUAACACGUAUGCAACCUACCCUUUACAGGAGGAUAGCUCGGGGAAACCCGAAUUAACCCUCCAUAACAUCAUGAUGUGGCAUCACAAUAUGAUUAAAACUCCGGUGGUAAAGGAUGGGCAUGCGUCUGAUUAGUUAGUUGGCGGGGUAACGGCCCACCAAGCCGAUGAUCAGUAGGGGACCUGAGAGGGUGAUCCCCCACACUGGCACUGAGAUACGGGCCAGACUCCUACGGGAGGCAGCAGUAGGGAAUAUUGGUCAAUGGGUGCAAGCCUGAACCAGCCAUGCCGCGUGCAGGAAGAAGGCCUUCUGGGUUGUAAACUGCUUUUACCAGGGGAUAAAAAUCUCAUGCGUGAGAAAUUGAAGGUACCUGGUGAAUAAGCCACGGCUAACUACGUGCCAGCAGCCGCGGUAAUACGUAGGUGGCAAGCGUUGUCCGGAUUUAUUGGGUUUAAAGGGUGCGUAGGCGGCCCUGUAAGUCAGUGGUGAAAUACUCUAGCUUAACUAGAGGGGUGCCAUUGAUACUGCAGGGCUUGAGUACAGACGAGGUAGGCGGAAUUGACGGUGUAGCGGUGAAAUGCAUAGAUAUCGUCAAGAACUCCGAUAGUGAAGACAGCUUACUAGGCUGUAACUGACGCUGAGGCACGAAAGUGUGGGGAUCAAACAGGAUUAGAUACCCUGGUAGUCCACACUGUAAACGUUGAUGACUCGAUGUUGGCGAUACACAGCCAGCGUCCAAGAGCAAUCGUUAAGUCAUCCACCUGGGGAGUACGCCGGCAACGGUGAAACUCAAAGGAAUUGACGG
rnacentral:rRNA from 1 species